UUCAGAUCUUCCCUAAGGAGUACCCUUGAGAUGAAAGACACAAGACUGGGCAGAAGUAGGAGCUGAUGCAAAAGGCCUUCAUCAAAGGCCUCAGCUGAUUUUACGGAGAUCUCUGGGACUGAGACGGCCCCUCAGAGUGAUCGUCCCUGGAAACGAGAGAUCAUCAUGCCCAGACCCACCAAAGUCCUCAUUGGGCUUCUGGAUCACUGUUGCGAGGUUUGCAGGUAUUUCCUGGUACAUACGUUAUUAGCCUGGACACCAGAAUGAAUCCAGUGUGGCAUGAUGUGUGGUGUGUAGGUCUGCACCCAGAAUCCGAAACUGCGAACCCUGGGCUGCCGAAGAGGAGCACAUAAACUUCACCACUAUGCCACCAGCAGCACCCCUCACAGAGCAUUUCCUUGGAACACACGACCGGAGGAAGUCAUUCAGACACCAUGCCACCCAGCAAACCAUUUACGAGAAGCCCACACGUCUUCACAAAGGAUUCAAGCCCUCCUGUGGAAACCAUGGACCUAUGGAAGGAGACUUACUUGGAAGCCCUAACUGAAGGUGCACUGGCCUGAAGGAGGGAGAAAAUCUUGCAAGCGAAGUUUGUUGCUGACAACAUUUAACACGAAUAAAG
rnacentral:lncRNA from 1 species